GGUUAAGCGACUAAGCGUACACGGUGGAUGCCCUGGCAGUCAGAGGCGAUGAAGGACGUGCUAAUCUGCGAAAAGCGUCGGUAAGGUGAUAUGAACCGUUACAGCCGGCGAUGUCCGAAUGGGGAAACCCAGUGUGAUUCGUCACACUAUCGUUAACUGAAUACAUAGGUUAACGAGGCGAACCGGGGGAACUGAAACAUCUAAGUACCCCGAGGAAAAGAAAUCAACCGAGAUUCCCCCAGUAGCGGCGAGCGAACGGGGAGCAGCCCAGAGUCUGAAUCAGCUUGUGUGUUAGUGGAACGGUCUGGAAAGUCCGACGGUACAGGGUGAUAGUCCCGUACACCAAAAUGCACAGGCUGUGAACUCGAAGAGUAGGGCGGGACACGUGGUAUCCUGUCUGAAUAUGGGGGGACCAUCCUCCAAGGCUAAAUACUCCUGACUGACCGAUAGUGAACCAGUACCGUGAGGGAAAGGCGAAAAGAACCCCGGCGAGGGGAGUGAAAAAGAACCUGAAACCGUGUACGUACAAGCAGUGGGAGCACCUUCGGGUGUGACUGCGUACCUUUUGUAUAAUGGGUCAGCGACUUAUAUUCUGUAGCAAGGUUAACCGUAUAGGGGAGCCGCAGGGAAACCGAGUCUUAACUGGGCGUUAAGUUGCAGGGUAUAGACCCGAAACCCGGUGAUCUAGCCAUGGGCAGGUUGAAGGUUGGGUAACACUAACUGGAGGACCGAACCGACUAAUGUUGAAAAAUUAGCGGAUGACUUGUGGCUGGGGGUGAAAGGCCAAUCAAACCGGGAGAUAGCUGGUUCUCCCCGAAAGCUAUUUAGGUAGCGCCUCGUGAA
rnacentral:rRNA from 1 species